UUAGUAUUUCUUGGUCACACCAAGUACAAAACAAAUGCACUGAUUUUGGUCAUAUUUGACAUUCAAUUUGCUUAACAUCAAAAUAUUCUGGAGUUCUGGGAUAAAAGAUUGUGAACCUGUUUUCUGUCUUUGCAUUCUUCAUACCGUGAUAGAAAUAGGUUAAACCAAAGAAUGGUUAUAAGAGAACUUCAGUCUAAUAGUUUUUCUUUUUAAUACUAUUUUUAUGGUAAAUACAGACAUGUAACUUGUGAUUUCAUUACAACGUCAUGUACAAAGCAAGCAAAAAAGCACACAAAUAAUUCUUCACAGAAACUUGAAAAAAAAAAAGGCCCUUAACAAGCAAGAUAUAUUUCAAAGACAAAACUGAUAAAGUUAAAAUCUAGAAUUAUAUUCAAGUUAAAGCACUACAAUGAGUAGAUACAUUAACAUUCCAAACUAUAAAACUUACGGGGGAAAAAAACAUUUUAAAUGAAGGAAAUCUGUUCACAUUCCAAACAGCGGACAUAAAUACGAAGAAAAGAGCAAAAUCCAAGACUGCUUUUUUAAUCCCAGAAGUAUGACUUUCUUCUACGAGUUGCUAAUAUAGGUGGAGAUUUAAAGUCCAUUUCCUAAGACUCUUACAUUUAGCUGUCUAGUCUACUCUUACUGAACUGGAAAACCUGGCCCG
rnacentral:lncRNA from 1 species